CUAAUGUAUUCCAAAUAAUAUAAUUCCUGGCGGCAAGCGCAAGAACCAAAACCCCUAAGCCCGAAGAUGAGCAACAAUGGCAGCAGCAAUUCCUUCAACACCACUCCAAACUUUGAUAAUCUCCUCCUUCAAUCUCUCAUGGAUCGUCUUCAACUCGGCCAAAUCCAAAAUCAACAACGCCAUCAAAUUCCCCUUUCUGCUUCUCCACCUUUUCUCUCUAAAUCCUUCGAAGACCUUCUCCUAGACGCCGCCACCAAUGGUGGACGUUUCUCCGACUUCUCUUUUUCCGAUGAAGAUGACGAUGAUGAUCAAAACUUUUCCAAUGUCAAAACCCAGCUUUCUAAGGAAGAAUCAAGGCUUGAGAAGGAAUUAAUUAAGAUUAUUCUUAGUGGGAACACUGAAACUCUAAAACCCAAUUCAGGGCAAGCGGUUUCGAUUGGUGAACAUCAUGUUUGUGUUGGGUUUCAUGAGGAAAAAGAAUCGGAGUAUCGGGUUUGGGAGUGGCAUGGUCAUAUUAUGUUGUUUGAUGAUGAAAAUGGGUAUACUCCCGAGUAUAUUUAUGGGAAUUAUUUUGAGAGAUUGAUGUUUAAAGUGAAGAAAGAUAAGGAAGAGGAGAGUGAGAAAAAGGUGGAGAAUAUGGGUUUAAAAGAAUUGAUUGAGGGUGGAGAUUCGGGUGAUAAUCGGGUUCUUCAUCAGAUUAGAGUUGCUGCUUCUUCUGGUGGUCUUUCAUUGGGACAUGAAUGAAGAAAAGGAGCGACGCAAGGGAGUAUUUUUAUGUUUGAAUAAAAGGCAAUAAGGCAGAAGCUUUUGUCAUCGUUGAGGGUCCUUUUGGAAUGAAGGAACUGGCUUUGUAUUGUGGGUCCUGAAAGAUUCAAGUGAGAACUGAGGUCUUGCAACAUUAGGACAUCAUCUUAAAUAUUCGGAAGGAAGUAUCGUAAUACUACCUCUUUUUUCCCAGUUUUGUUAGAUUAGACAUACAUUGGAAUGUUUUGUUUUUGUUUGGAAGUUCGAUAUUGAGAUGGACAGUAAUACUCCCGCCGACGGAUGUAAACCCUUAAUGAAUAAUACUAGUCACUGCUAUUUGGUGGUAUUUCCAGUGUCCUUGUGAAAGUCCAUCAAUUUCUAUCUAAAGGUUUUGUUGGUGAAAAUAUUUUUUGGUACCCAGAUACACAUAACUACUCGUCUUCUUAAAUUAUUCAUUAUUGCCUUGAAAACAAAUGCAAGAUGCCCUUUCAUCACCUUCCUUCCCUUGUGGCCACAACACCUCUUACCAUGAAUCUUGGCUGACAUCUACCAUAUGAUCCGCUGUGUAAAUAUGCAAUAGAUAGCUAGUGAUGGCCACGAUCCGCGUUGGCCGGUUUCAUUUCCGGUUCCAUUAGGUUUUGGUGUCUAAAAGCUGGAACCUAAUUCGGAACGUUGGGUUCCGAUUUCGUUUCAUUAGCGGUUUAGGAGGUGGUUCGUAGCAGUCAGGAGGCGUUUCCUAGCAGUUCAACUCCCGAGUUGGAUUGGUCAGACUAUCAGAUCAAUUUUCUUUUUUUUUUUUUGCUUUGAAUAUAAAUAUAAAAAUUCAUAUAAAGUAUCAAAAUGAUGUGGACAUAUAUUUUCGAUUAUUAUUGA